rnacentral:rRNA from 1 species
UAAUACCGCAUAAGCCCACAGGUCGGCAUCGACCAGAGGGAAAAGGAGUAAUCCGCUUUGAGAUGGCCUCGCGUCCGAUUAGCUAGUUGGUGAGGUAACGGGCCCACCAAGGCGACGAUCAGUAGCCGACCUGAGAGGGUGACCGGCCACAUUGGGACUGAGACACGGCCCAGACUCCUACGGGAGGCAGCAGUGGGGAAUAUUGCACAAUGGGGGAAACCCUGAUGCAGCGACGCCGCGUGGAGGAAGAAGGUCUUCGGAUUGUAAACUCCUGUUGUUGAGGAAGAUAAUGACGGUACUCAACAAGGAAGUGACGGCUAACUACGUG